UAUUUUGCAGGAAAUGGGAGCUGCAGCUUGCUUUUAAAGCAGUGAAAGUGACAGGCAGAGAUGUAUGACAACCCUUGUUUGGGUCACAUCACUGGGCUCCUGAGACUUGGGAGGCUUGGACCUUUCAGCAGAGGGAGCCAGAAAGCGUGGAGCUUAGCCUGCUGCAUCACAGCGCUGUGUGGUGUGCUUCUGACCGCCCAGGGAAGACCAAGGCUCCUCUCUGCUUAACCCUGCUGCUGCCGCCGCCGCCGCCGCCGCUGCCGCCGCCGCCGCCGCCGCCGAGAAGCUUCCGAAAGGAGUGUGGUACUGGGGCUGUCAGUGAGCUCCGGACUCAAGGCCUUCUGAGGAUGAAUGCUGGGACCCUCCCAGAAACCAGGAUCUCUUCUUUACCCCAGUCCUGUACACCUGGGUCGUCCAGUCUCUGAGGGAUGGCCACCAAGGACUAAGCAUGGCUGCCUGGUUCCCUAAUGAGAGUAGCAUCCUAAAUCGCCAGCGCUUUCCUUUGUUUUUAAGGGAAGCCAGUUCCCUUUAGUAUGGGCCACUUCGGCAGGGGUGGCUUUCAUGAGUUUGUCCUCCCACCCUCCCUCCCUCCAUCCCUCCCUCCCUUCUUGCCUUAUUCUUUCUCCACCCAGAAAAUCCUUUAGUGCCCCCUCCAGCCAUGAACUGUGCCGGAUGAAGGACGGAGACAGCCAGGCUUGCUUCUGUCCCUGAGGCCUUGCAGUGGGAUGAAGGAGGCCGCUACUUAGUGGUCACCGGACCUUGGACCUUGAGGGUCAGUUCCCAGGUAAUGACAGUGCCUCAGCUGGGACCCAGUCAAGCCUGUCUCUGGGUCUCCAUCAGGCAGGAUGUCCUCCCACCACAUCCAGCAGGGAGCGUGGCCGUGUGCAGCAGAAGGACCCUCGGCUGGUUAAGGAGCACAGGAUCAGACUGGAAGGCCUUGGCUUCCUCAGAGCUCCCUGGGACAGGGAAGGGCGGGCCCUCAGUGGCACAGGCUCUGUAGCAGGAACAGAUUCUCCAAGGCCAGGACCAGAAGGGGGGCUCUCAAGGAUCCAAUGGCACAUGUCAGAGUGAGCUGGCCCUGAGCAGUGACAUGUGUCCAUUCCUGGUCAAAGGAGGACAGGGCACCUUGGCAAUGCACUAAGAUGGCUUGCAGGGGAGGGAGGGCUGUUCCCCCAAGCACUUGGGAGUCACCUAAGCACAGAGCUUAAGUUCUUGGAACUGCCUGGCUACUGAGGGAAUGUGGAAACUGGCUAAGCCAUCCCCUGGGGCCUGUCCUGGGCCCCAGCUCCCCAGCACCCUAGCACCCUGGCUUCUAAUUUUGUUCCCUCAUCUGGAACCCAGUUCAUGUCUCUGUUCAACCUGGAAACAUUUUCUUAACGACAAAAUAAAUCAAAUCAUAGGUUAAAAAUCUCUUGAGCAGAGAAGCAGCAGAUGACGUUGUGUGGGCAUUUGCCCAGAGGACACAGAACUUGCAUCUCCUGAGUGGGUGGCCUUAUAAGGGCAGGUUCUGGAGGAGAGUGGGCAGAAGGGAGGGCCACCAGCAGUGGCAGGAGCCUUGGAGGCUGGGGUGGGUGCCCCAGCUGGGCAGGGUAUGGAACCAGCAGCAGGCAUUCUUGGCCAGGACCCAGUUCUGUGGGGGGAGCUGGCCCAGUGAAGGCCCAGCAACCUCUGCUGGGCCCCUUCAUUGCAGCCAUUGUCAGCCGGGGCUAUGACCCAUGUCAUGCCUGCCACCACAAGCCAGCCCCACUCUGGCAGCUCACUAAAGGACAGAGACCAUUUCCUGUUUUUUCAUCAGCUUUCUCCCUGACCUGUGCCCAGCUGGUCUGCUAGGCAAUAAAGAUAUGUAUGGUGGGAGAAUUGGUGAAUGUAUUAAAAAAAAUAAAAACAAGCAAGUAAACAAA